GAUGAAGAACGUAGCGAAAUGCGAUAAGUAAUGUGAAUUGCAGAAUUCAGUGAAUCAUCGAAUCUUUGAACGCACAUUGCGCCCGCCAGUAUUCUGGCGGGCAUGCCUGUCUGAGCGUCAUUUCAACCCUCAUGCCCCUAGGGCGUGGUGUUGGGGAUCGGCCAAAGCCCGCGAGGGACGGCCGGCCCCUAAAUCUAGUGGCGGACCCGUCGUGGCCUCCUCUGCGAAGUAGUGAUAUUCCGCAUCGGAGAGCGAUGAGCCCCUGCCGUUAAACCCCCAACUUCUGAACGUUUGACCUCGGAUCAGGUAGGAAUACCCGCUGAACUUAAGCAUAUCAAUAAGCGGAGGA
rnacentral:misc_RNA from 1 species